AGCUUUGUGCAGUGGCAGUAUAGUAGCCAAUGAGGUUUAUCUGAGGCACGAUUAUUGCUGAUUGAAACAAAGCUCAUCCCGGCUGCCAUGUAGAAAGUGGGCAGAGCAAGCGUGGAGGCAGGAUGACCUUUUAGGU